GUUUCGGAGCUGUGUCCGAGUCGGAACGCAGACAUUAUGCAGAAAGUGGAAAUAGACACACUGACUUUAAUGGAAACCUAAUGACUCCGCCGACGUUUCGGAGCCGUUCCACAGCCUUUCCACAUCUAGUGGAAAUCCGGGCAUAGUUAAAGUCUGCCUAGCAACUGAUGAAGAGGGCGUGUGCCAAGAGACUGGGACCAGUCAGUGCACCAACCAGGGGAAGCUAAGUCUAAACCACGGUACUCCUCCAACUUCUCAUAAAGAAAUCAAAAUGCUCUAAGAGACUGAUAUAUAAAUUCAUGUAUAAGCCAGAAAAUUCAGUCUGAUGAGAGAAGCCUGUGUGCCUGCUCAACUCAGACCCGUGUACACGUUUAUGCUCUUAUGAUUUUACUUAAAUAAAUACUUGUUAAACUUUUAAA